GCUGCCCGCGACAUUGCGAGAAGUCCACUGAACCUUAUCAUUUAGAGGAAGGAGAAGUCUAACAAGGUUUCCGUAGGUGAACCUGCGGCAAGGUAUCAUUGUCGAAACCUGCAAAAGCAGAACGACCCGUGAAAAAAUCAUUACACUAUGGCGAGAAGUUUGGGUCUCGGCCUAAUCAUGCUCGAAUCCUCAAACAAACAUUGGGCGCGGGAUGCGUCAAGGAAAAUCUAAAAGAACAUCAUUUCCCCUUUGCGGCGCCGGAGACGGUGCUUGGCUUUGGGGAUGCAUGUGUUCUAUAUGUCGUAACGACUCUCGGCAACGGAUAUCUCGGCUCUCGCAUCGAUGAAGAACGUAGCGAAAUGCGAUACGUGGUGUGAAUUGCAGAAUUCCGUGAACCAUCGAGUUUUUGAACGCAAGUUGCGCCCGAAGCCUUUUGGCCGAGGGCACGCCUGCCUGGGCGUCACGCACCGUUGCCCCCUUACUCAAGCCCGUCUCUUCGCAAUCGGAGGGCGGAACGAGUCAAGGGGGCGGAGAUUGGCUUCCCGUUGGCUUUGUCUUCCGGUUGGCCUAAAAUUGAAUUCCUUAGCGGCGAAUGCCGUGGCACUUGGUGGUCUUCGAUUAAAUCGUAAACCCGCCACGCGCGUGCGUCGGACUAGACGAUCUUCUUACACCCAAUGGCCGUCCGUAUAAGGUCGGUGCUUCCAACGCGACCCCAGGUCAGGCGGGGUUACCCGCUGAAUUUAAGCAUAUCAAUAAGCGGGAGGGAAAAAAAAACUUUC
rnacentral:rRNA from 1 species